AGUGAACGCUGGCGGUAGGCCUAACACAUGCGAGUCGAACGGCAGCACAGUAAGAGCUUGCUCUUACGGGUGGCGAGUGGCGGACGGGUGAGGAAUACAUCGGAAUCUACUUUUUCGUGGGGGAUAACGUAGGGAAACUUACGCUAAUACCGCAUACGACCUACGGGUGAAAGCAGGGGAUCUUCGGACCUUGCGCGAUUGAAUGAGCCGAUGUCGGAUUAGCUAGUUGGCGGGGUAAAGGCCCACCAAGGCGACGAUCCGUAGCUGGUCUGAGAGGAUGAUCAGCCACACUGGAACUGAGACACGGUCCAGACUCCUACGGGAGGCAGCAGUGGGGAAUACUGGACAAUGGGCGCAAGCCUGAUCCAGCCAUACCGCGUGGGUGAAGAAGGCCUUCGGGUUGUAAAGCCCUUUUGUUGGGAAAGAAAAGCAGCAGGUUAAUACCCCGCUGUUCUGACGGUACCCAAAGAAUAAGCACCGGCUAACUUCGUG
rnacentral:rRNA from 1 species